UGCGUAGGUGGUUUUUUAAGUUAUCUGUGAAAUUCCUGGGCUCAACCUGGGAAGGCCAGAUAAGACUGGAAGACUUGAGUAUAGGAGAGGGCAGUGGAAUUUCCGGUGUAGCGGUGAAAUGCGUAGAGAUCGGAAGGAACACCAGUGGCGAAGGCGACUGCCUGGCCUGAUACUGACACUGAGGCACGAAAGCGUGGGUAGCAAACA
rnacentral:rRNA from 1 species